GACCUCUCCGGUGGCCUAAUGGUUAAAGCGUCUGCCUCGGAUGUGGAAGUCGCGGAUUCGAAUCCGUACCGAGUCA